rnacentral:rRNA from 1 species
UACGAAGGGGGCUAGCGUUGCUCGGAAUUACUGGGCGUAAAGCGCACGUAGGCGGCUUCUAAGUCGGGGGUGAAAUCCUGGAGCUCAACUCCAGAACUGCCUUCGAUACUGGAGAGCUUGAGUCCGGGAGAGGUGAGUGGAACUGCGAGUGUAGAGGUGAAAUUCGUAGAUAUUCGCAAGAACACCAGUGGCGAAGGCGGCUCACUGGCCCGGUACUGACGCUGAGGUGCGAAAGCGUGGGGAGCGAACAGG